ACGGGUGAGUAACGCGUAGGUAACCUGCCUGGUAGCGGGGGGUAACUAUUGGAAACGAUAGCUAAUACCGCAUAAGAACAUUUACUGCAUGGUAGAUGUUUAAAAGGUGCAAAAGCAUCACUACCAGAUGGACCUGCGUUGUAUUAGCUAGUUGGUGAGGUAACGGCUCACCAAGGCAACGAUACAUAGCCGACCUGAGAGGGUGAUCGGCCACACUGGGACUGAGACACGGCCCAGACUCCUACGGGAGGCAGCAGUAGGGAAUCUUCGGCAAUGGGGGGAACCCUGACCGAGCAACGCCGCGUGAGUGAAGAAGGUUUUCGGAUCGUAAAGCUCUGUUGUUAAGGAAGAACGUGUGUGAGAGUGGAAAGUUCACACAGUGACGGUACUUAACCAGAAAGGGACGGCUAACUACGUGCCAGCAGCCGCGGUAAUACGUAGGUCCCGAGCGUUGUCCGGAUUUAUUGGGCGUAAAGCGAGCGCAGGCGGUUAGAUAAGUCUGAAGUGAAAGGCAGUGGCUCAACCAUUGUAGGCUUUGGAAACUGUUUAACUUGAGUGCAGAAGGGGAGAGUGGAAUUCCAUGUGUAGCGGUGAAAUGCGUAGAUAUAUGGAGGAACACCGGUGGCGAAAGCGGCUCUCUGGCUUGUAACUGACGCUGAGGCUCGAAAGCGUGGGGAGCAAACAGGAUUAGAUACCCU
rnacentral:rRNA from 1 species